rnacentral:tRNA from 1 species
GGACAGAUGGCCGAGUUGGUUAUGGCGCCAGGUUAAGGUUACUUAACAUUGCUUCCUGGUCACGUAAGUGGCAGGGGUUCGAAUCCCCUUCUGUUCA